rnacentral:lncRNA from 1 species
CAUGGCUGCCGACAGGUGGUAUAGGUCUGCACCAGGGAACUGAUCCUGGGCCACUGAAGCAGAGCACACCAAACUCAAACACCAGGCCACGGGACUGGCUGCAAUAAAGUAUUUUUAAAAUAAGUGGUUGGAACUGAACCCGCAAUAUCUCUGUGCUAUGCCUGUACUUAGAAUCCGUGCAUGGAUGAUUCAUGCUAAAUGAAAUGAUCUGAGUCUGGAUUCUGAUAUAAAAUCUGAAAUUACAAGAGUCACGAAUUAUGUUGAGAUUUAGGGACUGUUUGGUGCAAGCAAUGGAAGCAAGCUGUGGCUCUUAAGCCAAAGGGAGCAUUUUGGAGAGCUGCAGGCACAUGGGUGGAGUUAACGUAAUGUCCCACGGCAUCCGAGACUAUGACAGUCACAAGGCCUGAGUGCACCUCAUGAUUAAGAAGGGAAACACUGUAUUCUUUCAUCCUUUGCUCACCCAUGGAUCUGGUCAGAACAAAACUCAAGGAUUCCAGAUAUCAUGCAUUAACA